rnacentral:rRNA from 1 species
UACGAAGGGGGGCUAGCGUUGUUCGGAAUUACUGGGCGUAAAGCGUGCGUAGGUGGUUUGUUAAGUCUGAUGUGAAAGCCCUGGGCUCAACCUGGGAAUUGCAUUGGAUACUGGCAGGCUAGAGUGCGGUAGAGGAUGGCGGAAUUCCCGGUGUAGCAGUGAAAUGCGUAGAGAUCGGGAGGAACAUCUGUGGCGAAGGCGGCCAUCUGGACCAGCACUGACACUGAGGCACGAAAGCGUGGGGAGCAAACAGG